UUUCGGAUCAUGGCGCAAUUGGUUAGCGCGCGGUACUUAUAAUGCCGAGGUUGUGAGUUCGAUCCUCACCUGGGAAAG